rnacentral:sRNA from 2 species
AAUCCUAAUUAAUCAUUGGAAUGAAACUCCUGCCAACACUGACUUUUCAAACAGAGAGGAAUAUUGUUACAUGCAGCACAACCAUAUCUUGAUCUUGGAGCUUUAUCUUGUUUCUGCUCUGUUCUCUUUCUUUUGUACUGACACCAGGCACAAGCUCAAGGUUCUGACAGAGGAAUUCAAUGGUGAUUUAGAUCUGGAUUUGAUUGAGUAGUAGGUAGAGGAUUUGAGAAUUCCAGGAGUUGAAGAUAGAGCUGCCGACAGAAUUCAAGAUGAGAUAUAGUAGUAUCAGUAGUGCCAGUAGUGUCAGUAGUGCCAGUAGUGCCAGUAGUGCCAGUAGUAGCC